UUUAUUUUUGAGAGAGACCUAGCUAUCAUGUUCAACAUCCUACAUGACGUCCCUUUCAACUUUCCUAGACUCAUUUACAGUCAUAUCUGUGAUCCCCCAGAAAAACCAAGAUUGAGUCUUCCAUAUGGUAUGCUCUUCACCCUGAUCUUUAGGGAAUUAGAGGUCCCUAUUCCUGAGGGGAAACCCUCUCGUUCACUUCGCUACACUGACCAUAUGGGCGAGGGGACUCUCCACCGAAUGAGAUUCCAUAAGGUGGAGGGUA
rnacentral:lncRNA from 1 species